rnacentral:rRNA from 1 species
ACGUAAUAGAUACCCGGGUAGUCCACGCCCUAAACGAUGUCUACUAGUUGUUGGUGGAGUAAAAUCCAUGAGUAAACGCAGCUAAACGCGUGAAGUAGACCGCCUGGGGAGUACGGUCGCAAGAUUAAAACUCAAAGGAAUUGACGGGGGCCCGCACAAGCGGUGGAUUAUGUGGAUUAAUUCGAUGCAACGCGAAAAACCUUACCUGGCCUUGACAUGCCACUAACGAAGCAGAGAUGCAUUAGGUGCCCGUAAGGGAAAGUGGACACAGGUGCUGCAUGGCUGUCGUCAGCUCGUGUCGCGAGAUGUUGGGUUAAGUCCCGCAACGAGCGCAACCCUUGCCAUUAAUUGCCAUCUAUUUAGGUU